rnacentral:rRNA from 1 species
GCUUACGGCCAUACCACCCUGAGCGCGCCCGAUCUCGUCUGAUCUCGGAAGCUAAGCAGGGUCGGGCUUGGUUAGUACUUGGAUGGGAGACCGCCUGGGAAUACCAGGUGCUGUAAGCUUUA